rnacentral:misc_RNA from 2 species
AGCAGCCGCGGUAAUUCCAGCUCCAAUAGCGUAUAUUAAAGUUGUUGCAGUUAAAAAGCUCGUAGUUGAAUUUUGGGUCUGGCCGGGCGGUCCGCCCUCUGGGUGAGCACUGUUCCGACGCCGGGCCUAUCCUUCUGGUGAGUCGGCAUGUCCUUUAUUGGGUGUGCCGGGGAACCAGGACCAUUACCUUGAAAAAAUUAGAGUGUUCAAAGCAGGCGUAUGCUCGGAUACAUUAGCAUGGAAUAAUGAAAUAGGACGCGUGGUGCUAUUUUGUUGGUUUCUAGAACCGCCGUAAUGAUUAAUAGGGAUAGUUGGGGGCAUUAGUAUUCAAUUGUCAGAGGUGAAAUUCUUGGAUUUAUUGAAGACUAACUUCUGCGAAAGCAUUUGCCAAGGAUGUUUUCAUUAAUCAAGAACGAAAGUUAGGGGAUCGAAGACGAUCAGAUACCGUCGUAGUCUUAACCAUAAACUAUGCCGACUAGGAAUCGGGCGAUGUUAUUCUCAUGACUCGCCCGGCGCCUU